rnacentral:rRNA from 1 species
UACGGAGGGAGCUAGCGUUGUUCGGAAUUACUGGGCGUAAAGCGCACGUAGGCGGCUUUGUAAGUUAGAGGUGAAAGCCCGGGGCUCAACCCCGGAAUUGCCUUUAAGACUGCAUCGCUUGAAUCCGGGAGAGGUGAGUGGAAUUCCGAGUGUAGAGGUGAAAUGCGCAGAUAUCAGGAGGAACACCAAUGGCGAAGGCAGCUCACUGGGACGGUAUUGACGCUGAGACGCGAAAGCGUGGGGAGCAAACAGG